rnacentral:misc_RNA from 1 species
GAUGAAGAACGCAGCGAAAUGCGAUAAGUAAUGUGAAUUGCAGAAUUCAGUGAAUCAUCGAGUCUUUGAACGCACAUUGCGCCCCCUGGUAUUCCGGGGGGCAUGCCUGUCCGAGCGUCAUUGCUGCCCUCAAGCACGGCUUGUGUGUUGGGCCGUCGUCCCCCUCCUAGGGGACGGGCCCGAAAGGCAGCGGCGGCACCGCGUCCGGUCCUCGAGCGUAUGGGGCUUCGUCACACGCUCCGUAGGCCCGGCCGGCGCUUGCCGACGACCAUCAAUCUCUUUCUCCAGGUUGACCUCGGAUCAGGUAGGGAUACCCGCUGAACUUAAGCAUAUCAAUAAGCGGAGGA